UGAGGAAUAUUGGGCAAUGCCCGCAAGGGUGACCCAGCAACGCCGCGUGGAGGAUGAAUGUCGUAAGAUUGUAAACUCCUGUUAGAGGGGAAGAAUAGUACCGGUUGGACCGGUAUAUGACUGUACCCUCAGAGAAAGCCCCGGCUAACUACGUGCCAGCAGCCGCGGUGAUACGUAGGGGGCAAGCGUUGUCCGGAUUUACUGGGUGUAAAGGGCGCGCAGGCGGGAUAAAAAGUCAGUGGUGAAAUCCUACAGCUUAACUGUAGAACUGCCUUUGAUACUUUUAUUCUUGAGUUCGGGAGAGAGAGACGGAAUUCCAGGUGUAGUGGUGAAAUACGUAGAUAUCUGGAAGAACACCAGUCGCGAAGGCGGUCUCUUGGUCCGACACUGACGCUGAGGCGCGAAAGCGUGGGGAGCAAACA
rnacentral:rRNA from 1 species